rnacentral:rRNA from 1 species
AACGAACGCUGGCGGCAGGCUUAACACAUGCAAGUCGAACGGAUCCUUCGGGAUUAGUGGCAGACGGGUGAGUAACGCGUGGGAACGUACCCUUUGCUACGGAAUAACUCAGGGAAACUUGAGCUAAUACCGUAUGUGCCCUACGGGGGAAAGAUUUAUCGGCAAAGGAUCGGCGCGCGUUGGAUUAGCUAGUUGGUGGGGUAAUGGCCUACCAAGGCGACGAUCCAUAGCUGGUCUGAGAGGAUGAUCAGCCACACUGGGACUGAGACACGGCCCAGACUCCUACGGGAGGCAGCAGUGGGGAAUAUUGCGAAGUGGGCGCAAGCCUGAUCCAGCCAUGCCGCGUGAGUGAUGAAGGUCUUAGGAUUGUAAAGCGCUUUCAACGGUGAAGAUAAUGACGGUAGCCGGAGAAGAAGCCCCGGCUAACUUCGUG